CCUGAGUUUGUUUCUGUUAAUUAUCAGUGUCGGCUGUCUCAAGAAAUACUGCAGUAUUGUCAAACUAGCGGCCGACAGAAGAAGUUUUUAAAAAGUCAAACAUCCAUCUUUUCUUCAUGCUACUCUGGAAUACUGAGACUUGCAGAAAGUGCAUGGAGCAGGUCGCGUUGGCUAAAAAAGAGCCGCCGGAUGUGGAGGUUCAGCUGCUGAUUUAUGAGGUUUGCUGCUCGUCAUGAAAAGUGGUGC